rnacentral:rRNA from 1 species
UACGGAGGGGGCUAGCGUUGUUCGGAAUUACUGGGCGUAAAGCGCACGUAGGCGGCUUUGUAAGUUAGAGGUGAAAGCCCAGGGCUCAACCCUGGAAUUGCCUUUAAGACUGCAUCGCUAGAAUUGUGGAGAGGUAAGUGGAAUUCCGAGUGUAGAGGUGAAAUUCGUAGAUAUUCGGAAGAACACCAGUGGCGAAGGCGACUUACUGGACACAUACUGACGCUGAGGUGCGAAAGCGUGGGGAGCAAACAGG